rnacentral:misc_RNA from 1 species
UCUCCGUUGGUGAACCAGCGGAGGGAUCAUUACCGAGUUUACAACUCCCAAACCCAAUGUGAACCAUACCAAACUGUUGCCUCGGCGGGGUCACGCCCCGGGUGCGUCGCAGCCCCGGAACCAGGCGCCCGCCGGAGGGACCAACCAAACUCUUUCUGUAGUCCCCUCGCGGACGUUAUUUUUACAGCUCUGAGCAAAAAUUCAAAAUGAAUCAAAACUUUCAACAACGGAUCUCUUGGUUCUGGCAUCGAUGAAGACGCAGC